AGUCGAACGACCCGGACUAUGGCGGGGAGUGGCGCACUGCUCAGUAACACGUAGCUAACCUAACCUCAAGACGGAAAUAACCCCGGGAAACUGGGGUCAAUGUCCGAUAGAUGUGAAUUCCUGGAAUGGUGUCACAUCCAAACGUCAACACACCAUGUUGUGCGAACGCUUGAGGAUGGGGCUGCGGCCGAUCAGGCUGUUGGUGGGGUAAUGGCCCACCAAACCUUUGACCGGUAUGGGCCAUGAGAGUGGUAGCCCAGAGAUGGACACUGAGACAAGGGUCCAGGCCCUACGGGGCGCAGCCGGUACGAAACCUCCACAAUGCACGCAAGUGCGAUGGGGUUAUCUCGAGUGCUAUCUGAAAAAGGUAGCUUUUCCAUGGUCUAAAUAGCCGUGGGAAUAAGGGGGGGGCAAGACUGGUGUCAGCCGCCGCGGUAACACCAGCCCCCCGAGUGGUAGGGAUGUUUAUUUGGCCUAAAGCGUCCGUAGCCGGCUAAGUAAAUUUCUCGUUAAAUCCAACGUCCUAAGCUGGGCUGCGAGAAAGACUGCUUAGCUAGAGGGUGGGAGAGGUCAGCGGUAUUCCUGGGGUAGGGGCGAAAUCCAUUGAACCCAGGAGGACCACCAGUGGCGAAGGCUGCUGACUAGAACACUCCUGACGGUGAGGGACGAAAGCUGGGGUAGCGAAUCGGAUUAGAUACCCGAGUAGUCCCAGCCGUAAACGAUGCAGACUAGGUGUUGGGUUGGCCACGCGCCGACUCAGUGCCACAGGGAAGCCAUUAAGUCUGCCGCCUGGGAAGUACGGCCGCAAGGCUGAAACUUAAAGGAAUUGGCGGGGGAGCACCACCAGGCGUGAAGCCUGCGGUUUAAUUGGAGUCAACGCCGGGAACCUUACCGGGAGCGACAGCAGAGUGAAGGCCAGGCUAAAGGUCUUGCCAGACGAGCUGAGAGGAGGUGCAUGGCCGUCGCCAGUUCGUGCCGUGAGGUGUCCUCUUAAGUGAGGUAACGAACGAGACCCGCGCCGCAUGUUGCUAACAAGUCCUAAAGGGAUGUUGAGCACUCUUGCGGGACCGCAGCCGACAAGGCUGAGGAAGGUGCGGGCAACGGCAGGUCAGUAUGCCCCGAAUCUCCCGGGCCACACGCGGGCUGCAAUGGUAGAGACAGAGGGCUGCAACCCCGAAAGGGGAAGCCAAUCCCUAAACUCUACCUCAGUUGGGAUUGAGGGCUGCAACCCGCCCUCAUGAACAUGGAAUGCCUAGUAACUGCCAGUCAUCAUCUGGCGGUGAAUACGUCCCUGCUCCUUGCACACACUGCCCGUCGAACCACCCGAAUGAGGUUGGGGUGAGGCAUGAUCGAAUGUUGGUCGUGUCGAACCUGGGCCUCGUAAGGAGGGUUAAGUCGUAACAAGGUG
rnacentral:rRNA from 1 species